rnacentral:rRNA from 1 species
UCAAGCAAGAAAGAGCAAAGGGUGAAUGCCUAGGCGCCAUGAGCCGAAGAAGGACGCAGACAGCUGCGAAAAGCCGCGGGGAGACGCACACAGUCUGAGAUCCGCGGGUGUCCGAAUGGGGAAACCUGCCCGCGUAAAGCGUGGGUAUCCAUGCGUAAAUCCAUAGCGCAUGGAGGGGAAACGCCGUGAACUGAAACAUCUAAGUAGCGGCAGGAGGAGAAAGAAAACUCGAUUUCCAAAGUAGCGGCGAGCGAAAUGGAAACAGGCCAAACCGGCGCUACGGCGCCGGGGUUGCGGACCGCGGACGUGAUUACGCGAGGAUAGCCGAACUGUUUUGGGAAAGCAGGUCAGAGAGGGUGAAAACCCCGUAGGCGAAAUUUAAGCGUACACAGCGGGAUCCAGAGUACCACGGGACACGAGAAACCCUGUGGGAAGCCGGGGGGACCACCCCCCAAGCCUAAAUACUCCAUGGCGACCGAUAGAGAACAAGUACUGUGAAGGAAAGGUGAAAAGUACCCCGGGAGGGGAGUGAAAGAGAACCUGAAACCCUUUGUUUACAAACAGCGGAAGAGGUUUAAUAUUUCGACCGCGUACUUUUUGUAGAACGGUCCGGCGAGUUAAUGCCGCAAGCGAGGUUAAGUAACUGAAGUUACGAAGCCGAAGGGAAACCAAGUCUGAAUAGGGCGUCUAGUUUGCGGUAUUAGACCCGAAACCGGGUGACCUAUCCAUGGUCAGGUUGAAGUUACCGUAAAAGGUAAUGGAGGACCGAACCCACGUGUGUUGAAAAACGCGGGGAUGAACUGUGGAUAGCGGAGAAAUUCCAAUCGAACCCGGAGAUAGCUGGUUCUCCUCGAAAUAGCUUUAGGGCUAGCCUUAAGGGAGUCUAACGGAGGUAAAGCACUGAAUCGGCAAGGGGGCCUAAAAGCCUACCGACCCGUAUCAAACUCAGAAUGCCGUAAAGAUUAAUCCUUAGGAGUCAGACUAUGUGAGAUAAGUCUCAUAGUCAAAAGGGAAAGAGCCCAGACCACCCGCUAAGGUCCCAAAGUCCGUGUUAAGUGGAAAAGGAUGUGAGAUUUCAAAGACAACUAGGAUGUUGGCUCAGAAGCAGCCAUUCAUUCAAAGAGUGCGUAACAGCUCACUAGUCGAGAGGUCUUGCGCCGAAAAUGUCCGGGGCUAAAACACGGCACCGAAGCGAUGGACUCGUUUAAACGAGUGGUAGAGGAGCAAUCCGUAAGGAAGAAGCGCCGCGCGUAAGCGGGCGUGGACGAAACGGAAGAGAGAAUGCCGGAAUGAGUAGCGAGAUAUAUGUGAGAAACAUAUAGGACGGAAGUCUAAGGUUUCCUGGGUAAAGCUAAUCUGCUCAGGGUAAGUCGGGACCUAAGGCGAGGACGAAAGUCGUAGUCGAUGGAUAACAGGUAGAAAUUCCUGUACCGCGUAUAUUCAGAACUGUGGGGACACAGGAGGAUAGGAAAACCGGGGAAUGGAAAUACCCGGCCAAGCAUAAAGCCAUCCCGUACAGGCAAAUCCGUACGGGGUUAAAGGUGAAAUGUGACGGGGAGCGAAGAUGAGUAACGAAGUUUCCGAAUCCACACUGUCAAGAAAAUCCGCUAUGGCGAUAUACGCGCCCGUACCGUAAACCGACACAGGUAGACGAGGAGAAAAUCCACAGUCCGACGGGAGAAGCGUUGUUAAGGAACUCGGCAAAAUGACCCCGUAACUUCGGGAUAAGGGGAACCGCGGUGAAACGCGGUCACAGAGAAGAGGCCCAAGCGACUGUUUAGCAAAAACACAGGUCUCUGCGAAACCGAAAGGUGAAGUAUAGGGGCUGACGCCUGCCCGGUGCCGGAAGGUUAAAGGGAGAGGUUAGGAGCAAUCCGAAGCUUUGAACUUAAGCCCCGGUAAACGGCGGCCGUAACUAUAACGGUCCUAAGGUAGCGAAAUUCCUUGUCAGGUAAGUUCUGACCCGCACGAAAGGCGUAACGAUUU